GAUGAACGCUGGCGGCGUGCUUAACACAUGCAAGUCGAACGAGAAUCAACGGAUUGAGGAUUCGUCCAAAUGAAGUUGAGGAAAGUGGCGGACGGGUGAGUAACGCGUGAGGAACCUGCCUCGGAGUGGGGAAUAACAGUUGGAAACAGCUGCUAAUACCGCAUAAUGCAACGGAAUCGCAUGACUCUGUUGCCAAAGAUUUAUCGCUCUGAGAUGGCCUCGCGUCUGAUUAGCUAGUUGGCGGGGUAACGGCCCACCAAGGCGACGAUCAGUAGCCGACCUGAGAGGGUGAUCGGCCACAUUGGAACUGAGAAACGGUCCAA
rnacentral:rRNA from 1 species